rnacentral:RNase_P_RNA from 1 species
CGUGCGGAUCGGGCCAUCGCUCCGUCGCGCCGACACCUGCCGGGAGCCGAUCUCGGCCGCUGCCGGGGCGGCGGUGAGGAAAGUCCGAACACCACAGGGUACCGUGCUUCCUAACGGGAAGGCGCCACGACAGUAGUCGGGACGACGGCACGUGCAACAGAGAGCAGUCCCACCCCGGCAGACAUCGGGGCAAGGGGUGCAAGGGUGUGGUAAGAGCGCACCGGCGUUCCGGGCGACCGGAACGGUCAGGCAAACCCGCUUGAGGCGGUCGGCGACGGCCGUCCCAGAUAGAUGAUGGCCUCCCCACGAGCCCGGUACGGACCGGACCGCGGGCGAGACCGAAUUCGGCUUACAGAUCCGCACGCGCC